rnacentral:rRNA from 1 species
CUGGCUCAGAUUGAACGCUGGCGGCAGGCCUAACACAUGCAAGUCGAACGGUAACAGGAAGAAGCUUGCUCUUGCUGACGAGUGGCGGACGGGUGAGUAAUGUCUGGGAAACUGCCUGAUGGAGGGGGAUAACUACUGGAAACGGUAGCUAAUACCGCAUAACGUCGCAGGACCAAAGAGGGGGACCUUCGGGCCUCUUGCCAUCGGAUGUGCCCAGAUGGGAUUAGCUAGUAGGUGGGGUAACGGCUCACCUAGGCGACGAUCCCUAGCUGGUCUGAGAGGAUGACCAGCCACACUGGAACUGAGACACGGUCCAGACUCCUACGGGAGGCAGCAGUGGGGAAUAUUGCACAAUGGGCGCAAGCCUGAUGCAGCCAUGCCCGCGUGUAUGAAGAAGGCCUUCGGGUUGUAAAGUACUUUCAGCGGGGAGGAAGGGAGUAAAGUUAAUACCUUUGCUCAUUGACGUUACCCGCAGAAGAAGCACCGGCUAACUCCGUGCCAGCCGCGGC